rnacentral:rRNA from 1 species
CCUACGGGCGGCAGCAGUGAGGAAUAUUGGUCAAUGGCCGGGAGGCUGAACCAGCCAAGUCGCGUGAGGGAAGACGGCCCUACGGGUUGUAAACCUCUUUUGUCAGGGAGCAAGAUGCAGGUCGGGACCUGCUGUGAGAGUACCUGAAGAAAAAGCAUCGGCUAACUCCGUGCCAGCAGCCGCGGUCAUACGGAGGAUGCGAGCGUUAUCCGGAUUUAUUGGGUUUAAAGGGUGCGCAGGCGGAGGCACAAGUCAGCGGUAAAAUCGCGGGGCUCAACCCCGCUCCGCCGUUGAAACUGUGUGCCUUGAGUGCGCGAAGGGUAGGCGGAAUGCGUGGUGUAGCGGUGAAAUGCAUAGAUAUCACGCAGAACUCCGAUCGCGAAGGCAGCCUACCGGCGCGCAACUGACGCUCAUGCACGAAAGCGUGGGUAUCGAACAGGAUUAGAUACCCGAGUAGUC